rnacentral:tRNA from 1 species
AAGAAUAGUCUGGGACAAGCCGUAGCUGCUAACUAUGACUUAAGUGGUUCGAUUCCAUUUUGUUUUUU